rnacentral:rRNA from 1 species
UACGUAGGGGGCGAGCGUUGUCCGGAGUUACUGGGCGUAAAGGGCACGCAGGCGGUGCGGCGCGUUUCGCGUGACAGCGGAGGGCUUAACUCUCCGAGGAUGCGAAAGACGGCGGCACUUGAGGGCCAGAGAGGGACACGGAAUUCCGGGUGGAGUGGUGAAAUGCGUAGAGAUCCGGAGGAACACCGAAGGCGAAGGCAGUGUCCUGGCUGGUGACUGACGCUGAGGUGCGAAAGCUGGGGGAGCGAACGGG